UUAGGAUUAUUCCCUUUUAAGUACUAUUAUUACUAGUAAAUUUGCAUAUUGCCUUGGAGUAUUAUAUACCAAAUUAUAAUGCAGCAACUAGAAAAAAAUUAAUAAUUGUCAUUGAUAUGUAGAAUCAUAAAAUAAUAGUCAGUUAAGUCUGCAUGUAGCAGUAAGUGUGGGGAAAAUACCAACUUGUACAAAGAAUAAUAGCAGCAAAUGGAAAAGAGAAAACAAUGACCUUAAUGUCAUUAUUACAUAAUCAGUUUGAACAUCUGCUGCAUAUAUGCAACAAGUAGAACUCAGUAGUUGUCACAGUUGUCACAUUGCUUAUGAAAACUCACUUUAAAUAUAAAGACACAAGGAAAUUAAAUUAAAGUUCUUGAAUAAUCCAAAAUACUAAAAAUAAUAAAAAAAAAUAGCAGAGGAGAAUCAAUGUGCACUUUGGAAAGAGGAGACUUCAAGACAACAAAAGUUAUCAGAUAUAUUAAAAAAAAGCCUAUUGGGGAGUUAGGCCCCAAUAAAAAUUCCAUAUUGUUUAUACCUAGCCACACAGCAGUAAGUGUAACAGGACACAAGUUAUAAAACUUUAAAUCAAUUGCUCCAUUAUCAUUAGAGAUUAUCUCUAUAAGAAAUGGGAGGAUCCAGGGUGCAGAAAGAUAGAAAGGAUGCAGUUGAACUCCACAAUGAACCAAUCGAUUGUACAGAGUUGAAAGCAUAGACUUUUGUAUGCAAUAAGAGCAAAACCACAUCCUUGUCAAGGAGACAUGAAAUUUUUGAACAAUUAAAUAAUAUUAUCACUCACAAAAAGCUAUGCAAAUUUCAAUAAAUAAAAAAUAUACAAUGUUUGCUACCAGACUACCAUGGAAUCAAAGAAACUAAACUAGACAUCAAUAUCAGAAAGACAACUGGGAAAAUAAUUUAAAAAUAGUGGAGAUUAGACAAUAUAUUCAUAACACAAUCAAGAGGAAUUUAAAAAUGUCUCAAAUUUAAAUAAAAAUAAAAUUUCAAAUGACCAGAUGGUUUGAAAGCUGAGGCCGGAUGAACACAAAUUUAACGUUAGACUAAGUAACAUAAUUAGAAUAUUUAAAAUUUUUAAAAAGUGAAAAUAUUUACAAUAUUAUUAGCAUUAUAUCUUAGUGGUUAGAGCUCAUGCCCAAGAAAUGCCAUACCUUAUGUUCAAUCCCAGCACUAGAACAAAUAAGUGGGGGAAAAAAACUUUGAAAAUAAAGCAAAUAUCAAUGAAAUAGAAAGUAGAGAAUUGCUGGAGAAAACUAAAGCAACUAACAGAUCAAUUAAAUUGAUAAAUCUGUAGUCAGGCUUAUUAAGAAGUGGGUACAAGGUGCUAAUACAUUAGAAAAUAAACAGAGAACUCUUUCAUGUGCUAAAGAGUAAAACAAUGUGAACUGAAUAAUGUAAACAGAUUAAAGGAGGAAUAUGUAAAGCAGAUUAUGGUAAUUAACCGUGAUUGUCAACUUGACUGGAGCAUAACUCUCUGAGAUAUUAGCAAAGCUUUGGGGUAUGUUUCUGAAAUAAUUUCUAGAGAGGAUUAGAUAUAGAAAGCAAGCCAUGUACCCUCAUUCACCUUUCUCUGUUUCUAUUCUGUAUUUGUAAUGGGUAAAGUUCCUCCGCACUCCCACUGCCAUGAGAUCACAUUAUGAAGGAUUGACUACAGGCAAAGAAAUAAAUGAAGAGAAACACUUCCCGUCUAAGUUUUCUUUUCUUUUUUCUUUUUUUGUUUGUUUGUUUGUUUGUUUUGUUUUUUUUGUUUUUUUGUUUUUCUAGACAGGGGUUCUCUGUAUAGCCCUGGCUAUCCUGGAACUCAAUUUGUAGACCAGGCUGGCCUCAAACUCAGAAAUCUGCCUGCCUCUGUCUCCCGAGUGCUGGGAUCAAAGGCGUGUGCCACCACACCCGGCUAAGUUUUCAUUUUUAAUGUAAGUUUUCAGUCAUGGCAACAAGAAAAGUAAGAAAUAAUGUGCUUUAUACCCAAACUCAUACAAUAAUAAAUAGACAAUCCAAUUGUUGAUAUCGAUUCAGUAAAUUAAGAUGAUUACUGACCUCCCCAAACAGAAAGCUUAACACCCACAUCAACCCUCUGGUGAUUUCUAUCAAACAUAGGAGAAAGAAGAUGCAAACUUCUUACUUGUAGGCUACAAUGUUUCUAAUCCAGAAAACAGAAGCAGGGGUAAUUAUCAGAAUCAAAUUUUUUUUAAAAAAGCUACCUAUCAAUUUAUUCUUCAAUCAUAACUAUAAGUAUAUGCAACAAGAAUAUUAGCAAAUUAUAUUUGAUAAUAUGUGAAAGGAAUUAUACCUCAAAAACAAAACAGAAGAAAAGCCAUGUCAUCAUCUCCGCCGCUGAAGAUAUAUCAUUUGACAAAAAUCUACUACAUGUUCAUAUAACAAUUACUAGUUAAACAAAUUUUCUUCACAUGAUGAUCAAAAUAAUAAUAAAAGAAACAAACCUGUAAAUUAUAUAUUUCAUACUUAGAAACUUAAGUGAAUUUUAGUAUCUGUGCUCUGCUCAGAAUUCUUUUUAGAAUUGUACUAAAUUUACUACUAAAUCAUGGGAAACAUGGGACUAAUAAAGAACUAUAACACAACUGCAGGAUUGAGGGUCAACGUGAAAAUCUAUAGAACAUGUGGAAUAUAAAACUCAAAACACAAUACAUGAACAUCCCAAACAAAGGAAAAUACUAGGCUCAGUCAUUACCGAACAUCAGGAUCCGUUUCCAGUGCCCACUAUCACCUAUAUUUCCAGUUCCAUGGGAUCUCACACUCUCUCUGGACCUCUUCUAGCAUGAACACACAUGUGAUAUUUACUCACACAGAAACAGAGAACCAUAUACACAAGUUAAAAU
rnacentral:lncRNA from 1 species